rnacentral:rRNA from 1 species
AAGCCUGAUCCAGCCAUGCCGCGUGAGUGAUGAAGGCCCUAGGGUUGUAAAGCUCUUUCACCGGUGAAGAUAAUGACGGUAGCCGGAGAAGAAGCCCCGGCUAACUCCGUGCCAGCAGCCGCGGUAAUACGGAGGGGGCUAGCGUUGUUCGGAAUUACUGGGCGUAAAGCGCACGUAGGCGGGUAUCCAAGUUGGGGGUGAAAUCCCGGGGCUCAACCCCGGAACUGCCUCCAAAACUGGGUACCUAGAGUCCGAGAGAGGUGAGUGGAGUUCCCAGUGUAGAGGUGAAAUUCGUAGAUAUUGGGAAGAACACCAGUGGCGAAGGCGGCUCACUGGCUCGGUACUGACGCUGGGGUGCGACAGCGUGGGGAGCAAACAGGGUUAGAUACCCUGGUAGUCCACGCCGUAAACGAUGAGAGCUAGUUGUCGGGCAGCAUGCUGUUCGGUGACGCAGCUAACGCAUUAAGCUCUCCGCCUGGGGAGUACGGUCGCAAGAUUA